GACGAACGCUGGCGGCGUGCUUAACACAUGCAAGUCGAACGGAAAGGCCCUGCUUUUGUGGGUUGCUCGAGUGGCGAACGGGUGAGUAACACGUGAGUAACCUGCCCUUGACUUUGGGAUAACUUCAGGAAACUGGGGCUAAUACCGGAUAGGAGCUCCUGCUGCAUGGUGGGGGUUGGAAAGUUUCGGCGGUUGGGGAUGGACUCGCGGCUUAUCAGCUUGUUGGUGGGGUAGUGGCUUACCAAGGCUUUGACGGGUAGCCGGCCUGAGAGGGUGACCGGCCACAUUGGGACUGAGAUACGGCCCAGACUCCUACGGGAGGCAGCAGUGGGGAAUAUUGCACAAUGGGCGGAAGUCUGAUGCAGCAACGCCGCGUGCGGGAUGACGGCCUUCGGGUUGUAAACCGCUUUCGCCUGUGACGAAGCGUGAGUGACGGUAAUGGGUAAAGAAGCACCGGCUAACUACGUG
rnacentral:rRNA from 1 species